GCUGGCGAUUAAAGGCACCCGCAAACUAUGUUCGAUUUUCUCCUAGCAGAUCUCAGCUAGGCGAAGCGACCGUCUGUUCUCUCAUACUCCCUAAAGACCUUUGCUUGAAAAAACAAUAUUACUAAAUCAAGUUCUUACUGAGGAGAUUUUAGUUGCACAAUUUUGCAGUAUUUCUCAAGUUUAAAAAAAUAGAUAGACAUUUCCACUUCACAAUAACAGCACUUACAGUUGACCGGGGCAGCUCUAGCAGGACAGACAUUUUACGAACUGACUUGUUGGAAAGGUGGCAUCCUAUGACAGUGCCAUGAUGAAUGUCACUGAGCUCUUCAGUAAGGCCAUUCUACUGCCAAUGUUUGUCUACGGAGAUUGAAUGGCUGUGUGUUCGAUUGGGGUGAAAUAGCCAAAUCCACUAUUUGAAAUGGUGUCCAACAUACUUUUGUAUAUAUAGUGUAUUCGCAAACUUUAUCAACUGGGAAGCAUACGGUAAGCUUAAGCUUAAAUUGACUGUGUUAACUCUGAAGAUUGUGCAUGCAUCUAAGAAGCUCUCAGACUUUGUGUGUCUGCCUGCCUGCCAGCCUGUCUGUCUAUGAGUUCCAAGAAAUGUGGCUAGAGGUGUGGUGGCCACUGGAGGGCAACUUUACUGGAGCACAUGUAGGAGCUCGUUGUCAUUAAGUUAAUCUGUAACAGCUGAUACAAGUACGCAUCCCAUAUAAGGUACUACUACAGUACUAAUUCAUAUUUCAUUAAUGUACAUGGUCGACUUUGACCCAAGAGAACAAUCCAGACUAAGAAUUUGCAAAAGAUUGAACGCCUGGUCUAUGAUUAGUAGAUGUUGGAGAGGUGAGCGUGUAUCAUAUCCCCCUGCUGUUCUUCAUCCCUUGGUGCAGUCUGCUGACCAUCGCUGAGGCCAGGAAGAAGUCCGCUAGCCGAAGUAGAAGCCAAGUUCAUCACCAUGCAACGCUCUAUUAGCCGAGGUGCCAUGUCAUCUUCUAUCUACUUCAUAGUGGCCUCAGCUGGACUCCACCGCAUAACAUCUUGGUCUAGCCAGAUUAAUCAAGAGCUUCAAUCCGGGCCGGCUUUGGUUUCCAGGUGGAUCACAGUUACAAUCCCCAUUGCUUCCACCCACCUCAAUUAUCUACUAGGGGCUUCACAUUCUUCUUGAGGCGCUGAUAUUACUUUCUAAAUUAAAUGUUAUCAUGGUCGGAUGACUUACAAUCGUACAUGACUCUAUUCCCUUAAUGGACAGUACCAGAGACUGUUGCCUUAUUAGAAAUGUACAGAAGUUAUUUUUUUUCAAUAAACUAUUUUCUAUAUUAGUUUUGGGCUAAUCUAAUCCUGACCUGACAGCAUGAUAUUUAGUUUUACAACCCUCAAGAGACUCUGAGAAGGGAGUGGUGGCCAUCUGACCAACGGCAUUGCUGUGUGUGGUUAACCCCAGCUGCUCCUCAAGGUGCUCCAGCACUGACUUUUAGAUCCUGCUGAAACGGUCCACUAUCAGCCAGGCUCUCCAUGGAAAAGAAGGGCUGUUGUGGCACCAAAAUAGAUGAGUUGCCUGGGUAGCACCUCCUUUGUCCAAAAAGUUUAAUUUAACUCUGAAAAUCUUAGUGCAUUAAACUGACAACUAUGUACAAGAUCAAAGUAGUGCUAAAAAUAACAUAAUGUAGAACAAAAACACAAGAAAUAUAAAUUAACAAUAAGAAGAACACAAGAAGCUAAGUAAGCUAUUUACAUGGUCAGUUCCAAUGGCCAGGGAUAUUGAGAGCUCUUCCAGGGCACAAUUAAUAAUAUAAUAAUAAUCAAUCAUUUUGCUCUUUAUUUAGCCAGCUUACAUAUAAAACUUUAUUUGUUCAUCGAAAAUUGUGAAUAAUUCACCACAGGUUCAUGAAGGAUGUGCUUGAAAGGAUGCACAUAACUAUGCAAUGUUGGGUUGUAUUGGAGAGAGUCUCAGUCUUAAAUCAUAUUCCAUACACAGUCUGUGCCUGUAUAUAGUUUUCACGCUUGUGAGGGCAAGAAUCCACUCUCACAUAGGUACGUGGUUGCAAAGGGCAUCAGAGUCCUAACAGCGCAAUUUGCUACAUCAGGAUACUCUAAGUGCAGCCCAAUCCAGAAAUCUGGCACUGGCUUUUGGUAAAUACAAUUUUCACAGAACCGCUUGUUCCAAUUUCAAUGAGGCUCUUGUUCAUAUAUCGGUAAGUGAACUGGAGGCAGGGCAUGAAAGGGAUAUCAAAUCCAGUUGUUUGUGUCAUCCUUUUUGGGAAAGUACCUGCGUAAUUGCGCACCCAACUCGCUCAGGUGCUUCGCUAUGUCACAUUUGACAUUGUCCGUAAGCUUGAGUUCAUUUGCAUACAAAAAAUCAUACAAUGAUGGAAAGACCUGUGUGUUGUUCUUGUUAAUGCAGACAGAGAAGAGCUCCAACUUCUUAAUCUUAGCCUCAAUUUUGUCCCGCACAUUGAAUAUAGUUGCGGAGAGUCCCUGUAAUCCUAGAUUCAGAUCAUUCUGUCAAGAAAAAAAUCACCCAGAUAGGCCAGUCGUGUGAGAAACCCGUCAUCAUGCAAGCGGUCAGACAAGUGAAAAUUAUGGUCAAUAAAGAAAACUUUAAGCUCGUCUCUCAAUUCAAAAAAACGUGUCAAUACUUUGACCCUUGAUAACCAGCACACUUCUGUAUGUUGUAAAAGCAUUACAUGGUCACUGCCAGUAUCAUUGCAUAGUGCAGAAAAUACACGAGAGUUCAGGGGCCUUGCUUUAACGUUUUAUGGCUGCAUAGGCAGUAUUGAGUAGCUUGGAUGAAAAGGUGCCCAUUGUAAAUGGCCAGCUCCUCAGUCUCAGUUGAUAAUAUAUGCAUAUAAUUAUUAGUAUUGGACAGAAAACACUCUAAAUUUUCCAAAACUGUCAAAAUAUUGUCUGUGAGUACAACAGAACUGAUUUUGCAGGCAAAACCCUGAGGAAAAUCAAAACAGGAAGUGGCUUCUAUUUUCCAUGUUCCCAUAGCCUCCCUUUGCUGGAUUUAAAGGGAUAUGAACCAGAUUCCUUUUCCUAUCGCUUCCUCAAGGUGUCAACAGUCUUCAGACAUAGUUUCAGGCUUUUAUUUUGAAAAAUGGCCUUAGUUAUCUUUGUUUUCUAUAUUAUUUUGGUUAGGUCAGGGUGUGACAUGGGACAAAACAGACAAAACACAUAAAUCCCCCAAAAUGAAUCCCGGAAAAGAAGGUUACAAGGUAAGGGGACAUACAGAGAGAACGAGAGAGAGAGAAUAAGGAGAAUCCUCGCUGGGGAAAAGCUUUGGCCUUUGAAGUAGAAGUUACAGGUCUGUGAGAGCCAGAAAUCUUGCUUGUUUGUAGGUGACCAAAUACUUAUUUUCCACCAUAAUUUGCAAAUAAAUUCAUAAAAAAUCCUACAAUGUGAUUUUCUGGAUUUUUUCCCCAUUUUGUCUGUCAUAGUUGAAGUGUACAUAUGAUGAAAAUUACAGGCCUCUCUCAUCUUUUUAAUUUGGAGAACUUGCACAAUUGGUGGCUGACUAAAUACUUUUUUGCCCCAUUGUAUGUUACUGGCUGAAAAGGGUGGGGGGGUGUAUGAGGUUUCAUCCCAGAAUGACACAGCUCCAGACGGAUCAGUGACCAAGGCCCUGGCAGAGAUCUCUGGGGGAGAUAAUGCUCUAACAAAUUGGUUUGAUAGUGUGUUUGGGAAAUGAAUAAAUGUCAUGAUCACUGUGUUUUGGGCAACCUUCACCUGUGUGACCGUGUUAGUUUUGUGCGGAUGAUUCCGGUGUGAAAGGUUCUCAUUUCCAGGACUCUGGAGAAAUCGAUGAGACAACAGAUGGUGAGAUACGGGCCGAUUACGAGCUCUGACCAGUGGAAUGAUGAAUACAUGAUUCUAGACCUAGCAUAUGGAUCCGGAUCCUUCACAUACGAGGAGCCUAUGUUAAAUGAGACCAUUUUUUAUGUUUAGGUUCUCUUAUGUUUUGAUGUUUAGAAUGUUUAUUUGAUGAAGAUUAUAACGAAAAUCCUGAUAAGAAGUGUUAUGAUUCUGAUGUAGGCCUGGAACGGUCAAUGUAAUACAUAUGUUGGUCUUUGUUAGGUUGUAUUUGGAUAACAAGAGAUAGUUUUAAUAAAAAUAGAUGUGUGCUCUUUAAUAUUUUAAUAGAAUAUUCUAAUAAAAAUAGAGGUGUGAUUGGAUGUAUACUAUUUAGUCAUAGGGUGGAUAUGUUAUGGGAUUUUUAUGAAUACUGACUCAAUUAUGUAUACAUUUAGCUUAGAAUUAUAACUAAACAGAAUACUACUUAUAAUCAUAAAAUCAAAUCAAAUUUAUUUAUAUAACUGUCACGUUCUGACCUUUGAUUUCCUUUGUUUUGUAUAUAUUUAGUAUGGUCAGGGCGUGAGUUGGGUGGGCAGUCUAUGUUUGAUUUUCUAUUAUUUGGGAUUUCUAUGUUUCGGCCUAGUAUGGUUCUCAAUCAGAGGCAGGUGUCAUUAGUUGUCUCUGAUUGAGAAUCAUACUUAGGUAGCCUGGGUUGCACUGUUUGUUUGUGGGUGAUUGUCUAUGUUGAUUGCUUGUUUCAGCGCAGUUUGCAUUUAGCUUCACGGUUGUUCUUUCGUUUAUUGUUUUUGUAAAGGGUUUCAGAGUUCAGUGUUUUCUGUAUUAAAAUUAAUGAUGAACACAUACCACGCCGCAUUUUGGUCCUCCGAUCCAUCUCGCCUCUCCUCUUCAGAUGAAGAGGAGGA
ensembl:lncRNA